GGAUGCCAGCUCUGGACCUGAAACGAAGAUGGAUAACAGGCUAAAAUGUAUUUUAUUUUCAUUUGAAAACAUAUUUAACAUCUUCAGGAACAAAUUUAAUGGGAGAAACAUAAAAAUAGCUUGUGGCCCUGAUAACAACAAAGCACAAACAUAUUCAAGGCGCUUUUCUACCAUCAGGUCAAACGGUUACGGUUGCUGAGCUGUGCCGUUCCGUACUUAUCCAGGCUCGUUGGCAUGUUUACAGUUUCCUUUUCCAUUGCGGUGUUGUGAAAUCAGGAUUUGAACAGACUGACUGGGCAAGUGACCAAACAAGUAUCACCACAUCACUAAAAGCUGUUCCACCAGAACAGUUCUCUGUCCUGAGUAUGGUUUGCUAACCGUGCUGAAAAUUCCAGGCCAGAAACGGUUUGUAAUUGUACCAUACCAAAAAUUACUCAAGUGGAAAUGCUACUAGAACCAUUCUUCAUUGUGCUCAGAACCGUUCACCCAAUGGUGGAAAAGCAGCUAUAGUCACAGCAUAUAUAAAGCCCUAAAAACUAGAUUUGGAUUUGUAGAAGGAAAUAGCAGUGCUUGCAAGGCAGCCAAUCUAAGUGUUAAUGUUUUCAGUAAGUUUAAGUUGUUGGCUCUGUGUAAAUAAAAUGCUGCAUCGAAGGCCAUGGUUACCAUUGUCAUGACACUCGGCACACUUCUAGUUUUCGGUCGGCUGUGCACAACAGUUUAGGGCCUGAGACUAAAAUUAUCCACAAAAUCAAGUUUAAAUUGAAUUGGUGAAUUUCAUACAACUGUGAAACAGUUUAAAAAAUGAAUCAAAAGGAAUUUCAAUGACUUACAAGCACGGUAACACACAAUAAUCUGUCUUCAUGUCUACUGCUCUUAAUGAAGAAAUCUUUAUGUACCUUGAGGCCGUUUACCCAUGAUGUUGUGCAUGCACAGUGGGCAGGUGCGGUGCUGCAGGAGCCAGGGGUCGACACACUCCUUAUGAAACUCAUGAGCGCAAGAGAUGAUUCUCAAGUCCUGCCAGAGGAAAACAAAUAGAGGAAGAAGGAAUUCCUCGAGGCAGAUGGCACAGAUUGGGCUGGAGUUGGAGCUGCUGUUUGACCCCGGGGCCAUGCGAGAACGCUGAGACCCAGAGCAUCCCUGAGAGCUAUAUAUCCGUGUCUCCAGCCUGCUGAUGGCACGCAUGGUCUGCUGGUGCACUGAGUCCUGUUCUGGUGGACCGACAGCGGAAGCGUAGAGCAAAGAUUAUGAUGAUGGCCACCACAGCCAGAGCCACAGUCAAGAGGAUGCCAACAUCAUAGUGAGGCUGUUUACAGAAGAUAUGAAGCUUAAUAAGAUGCCCUCAAAUCACAGGCAAAUGCAUUUGACUGUGAUAAAUCUAGCUGUAUCUUAGACAUAAACUGUAGAAAACCUGCUAGUGUAUAUUGGGUUUGGGAUGCUGGUGCCUUCACCAAGAAAGUCCUACAAGAUGUAUAUCUGAAAAAAUAAGCUGUUUAAACAAUAAACAUAUCUGCCGCCGGACCUUC